GAGAAAGUACCAUAAGGGAAAGAUGAAAGAAAAAUUAAAAGCCCUAACAGUAAAGAUUACCCCUUGUAUCUUUUGCAUAGUGAAUUAGCUAGAAUAACCUAACAGAACUUAAGAUAGGCCCCCCGAAACCAGAUGAGCUACCUAUGAACAAUCUUUACAGGAUGAACUCACCUAUGUUGCAAAAUAGUGAGCAGAUUUAUAGGUAGAGGUGAAAAGCCUAACGAGCCUGGUGAUAGCUGGUUACCCAGAAUAGAAUUUUAGUUCAACUUUAAACCUACCUAAAAACCCAAAAAUUGUAAUGUAAGUUUAAAAUAUAAGAAGGUACAGCUCUUUAGAACUAGGCUACAGCCUUUUUUAGAGAGUAAGCAUAAACAUAACCAUAGUUGGCCUAAAAGUAGCUAUCAAUUAAGAAAGCAUUCAAGCUCAACAAUUAAAACACCUUAAUACCAAAAAUAUGCAACCAACUCCUAAUACUUAAUACUGAGUUAAUCUAUUUAAUAAUAGAAGCUAUAAUGCUAGCAUGAGUAACAAGAAAUAUUUCUCCUUGCAUAAGCUUAUAUCAGAGCGGACAGCCACUGAUGGUUAACAAUAAGAUAUAAACAACCUAACUAUAAACUAAAUAUCAAACCAAUUGUUGACCCAACACAGGUGUGCAAUCAAGGAAAGAUUAAAAGAAGUAAAAGGAACUCCACAAACACAAACCCCGCCUGUUUACCAAAAACACCACCUCUAGCAUUUCUAGUAUUAGAGGCACUGCCUGCCCAGUGACAUACGUUAAAUGGCCACGGUACCCUGAAGGUGCAAAGGUAGCAUAAUCACUUGUUCCCUAAAUAGGGACCUGUAUGAACAGCCACACAAGGGUUUUACUGUCUCUUACUUCCCAUCCGUGAAAAUGACCUUCCGUGAAGAGGUGGGAAUACGGCGAUAAGAAGAGAAGACCCUGUGGAGCUUUAAUUAAGAGACUAUACCAACACAACCAACAGGGUAAACAAAUCUCCACAUGGGCCAACAAUUUAGGUUGGGGUGACUUCGGAGAACAAAAUAAGCUCCAAGUGAUUUAGAUCUAGACUUACUAGUCAAAAGUACGACAUCACAUAUUGAUCCAAAAACUUGAUCAACGGAACAAGUUACCCCAGGGAUAACAACGCAAUCCUAUUUUAGAGUCCAUGUUGACAAUAGGGUUUACAACUUCCAUGUUUGAUCAGAAUAUCCUGAUGGUGCAGCAGCUAUCAAAGUUUCGUUUGUUCAACAAUUCAAGUCCUACAUGAUCUGAGUUCAGAUUGGAACAAUCCAGGCUGGUUACUAUCUAUUAAAUAAUUUCUCCC
rnacentral:rRNA from 1 species